rnacentral:rRNA from 1 species
CCUACGGGUGGCAGCAGUCGAGAAUCAUUCACAAUGGGGGAAACCCUGAUGCUGCGACGCCGCGUGGGGGAAUGAAGGUCUUCGGAUUGUAAACCCCUGUCAUGUGGGAGCAAAUUAAAAAGAUAGUACCACAAGAGGAAGAGACGGCAAACUCUGGGCCGGCAGUCGCGGUAAUACAGAGGUCUCAAGCGUUGUUCGGAAUCACUGGGGGUAAAGCGUGCGUAGGCUGUUUCGUAAGUCGUGUGUGAAAGGCGCGGGCUCAACCCUCGGACGGCACAUGAUACUGGGAGACUAGAGUGAAGGAGGGGGAAGCGGAAUUCGUGGUGUAGCAGUGAAAUGCGUAGAUAUCGAGCAGAACGCUCAUGGCGAAGGCAGGUUCCUGGACAUGAACUGACGCUGAGGCACGAAGGCCAGGGGAGCGAAAGGGAUUAGAUACCCUGGUAGUC